rnacentral:rRNA from 1 species
GAUGAACGCUGGCGGCGUGCCUAAUACAUGCAAGUAGAACGCUGAAGCUUGGUGCUUGCACCGAGCGGAUGAGUUGCGAACGGGUGAGUAACGCGUAGGUAACCUGCCUGGUAGCGGGGGAUAACUAUUGGAAACGAUAGCUAAUACCGCAUAACAGUAGAUAUUGCAUGAUAUCUGCUUGAAAGGUGCAAAUGCAUCACUACCAGAUGGACCUUCGUUGUAUUAGCUAGUUGGUGAGGUAACGGCUCACCAAGGCGACGAUACAUAGCCGACCUGAGAGGGUGGUCAGCCACACUGGGACGGAGACACGGCCCAGACUCCUACGGGAGGCAGCAGUAGGGCAUCGUCGGCAAUGGGGGGAACCCUGACCGAGCAACGCCGCGUGAGUGAAGAAGGUUUUCGGAUCGUAAAGCUCUGUUGUAAGAGAAGAACGAGUGUGAGCGUGGAAAGUUCACACUGUGACGGUAUCUUACCAGAAAGGGACGGCUAACUACGUG